GGGGCCUUAGCUCAGCUGGGAGAGCACCUGCUUUGCAAGCAGGGGGUCGUCGGUUCGAUCCCGACAGGCUCCACCAUUU
rnacentral:tRNA from 1 species